rnacentral:tRNA from 1 species
CGGAGUGUGGCGCAGACUGGUAGCGCGCCUGCUUUGGGAGCAGGAUGCCGGGGGUUCAAAUCCCUCCACUCCGACCA